GACGAACGCUGGCGGCGUGCCUAAUACAUGCAAGUCGAACGCAGUGGGGACGGGUGAGUAACACGUGGGUAACCCCCCAUCAAAGGGGAUAACACUUGGAAACAGCUGCUAAACCGAUACUGGCGGUUGGAGCCGCGGUGCAUUAGCUGGUGGGUGAGGUAACGGCUCACCAAGGCCCCAAUGCAGAGCCGAGCUGGGAGGGUGAUCGGCCAGACUGGGACGGAGACACGGCCCGACCUCCUACGGAGGGCAGCGGUGGGGAAUCUUGGGAAAUGGACGAAAGUCUGACCGAGCAACGCCGCGUGAGUGAAGAAGGUUUUCGGGUCGUAAAACUGUGUUGUUAGAUAAGCGGUAUCUAACCAGAAAGCCACGGCUAACUACGUGCCAGCAGCCGCGGUAAUAC
rnacentral:rRNA from 1 species